GACGAACGCUGGCGGCGUGCUUAACACAUGCAAGUCGAACGGAAAUGCCCUGCUUUUGUGGGGUGCUCGAGUGGCGAACGGGUGAUUAACACGUGAGUAACCUGCCCUUGACUUUGGGAUAACUUCAUGAAACUGGGGCUAAUACCGGAUAGGAGCUCCUUCUGCAUGGUGGGGGUUGGAAAGUUUCGGCGGUUGGGGAUGGACUCGCGGCUUAUCAGCUUGUUGGUGGGGUAGUGGCUUACCAAGGCUUUGACGGGUAGCCGGCCUGAGAGGGUGACCGGCCAAAUUGGGACUGAGAUACGGCACAGACUCCUACGGGAGGCAGCAGUGGGGAAUAUUGCACAAUGGGAGGAAGCAUGAUGCAGCAAAGCAGCGUGCGGGAUGACGGCCUUCGGGUUGUAAACCGCUUUCGCCUGUGACGAAGCGUGAGUGACGGUAAUGGGUAAAGAAGCACCGGCUAACUACGUG
rnacentral:rRNA from 1 species